UAGGGAAUCUUCCGCAAUGGAAGCAAGUCUGACGGAGCAACGCCGCGUGAGUGAAGAAGGAUUUCGGUUCGUAAAACUCUGUUGUUAGAGAAGAACAGCGCAUAGAGUAACUGUUAUGCGUGUGACGGUAUCUAACCAGAAAGCCACGGCUAACUACGUGCCAGCAGCCGCGGUAAUACGUAGGUGGCAAGCGUUGUCCGGAUUUAUUGGGCGUAAAGCGAGCGCAGGCGGUCAAUUAAGUCUGAUGUGAAAGCCCCCGGCUCAACCGGGGAGGGUCAUUGGAAACUGGUUGACUUGAGUGCAGAAGAGGAGAGUGGAAUUCCAUGUGUAGCGGUGAAAUGCGUAGAUAUAUGGAGGAACACCAGUGGCGAAGGCGACUCUCUGGUCUGUAACUGACGCUGAGGCUCGAAAGCGUGGGUAGCAAACAGG
rnacentral:rRNA from 1 species